AAUUUCUAUAGAAAAUCUGUUGAGAUAACCUUAACGAUACAGAGAAGAUUAGCAUGGCCUCUGCGCAAGGAUGACACGCAAAUUCGUGAAGCGUUCCAUAUUUUC